UGACAACCUCCGAAAACUAGUAAACUUAGCAUUAUAAACAGCCUGUCAGAAUAGGUAAUGGCUGUGUGCGACGAGAAAAAUGACAUCAUUGCCACUUUGUACUGUAGUGAAGCAGCACGCUUCUGCCUGCAACGCAGAGCUGGCAUAGGCUAUAGCUGUAAUGUACGAGAGAAGAAUGACAAGUUAAAAUGCAAGUUCAACGAUGUUUCUCUUUUCUUUAUUCAUUCGUUUUCCAGCAAUAGUGUAAAAAAAAUGUUGGGGCACUGCUUUUUGGUGUCCCCAAAUCUUGGCACCCUAGGCUGCUGCCUAGUUUCCC